CUACGGGCGCUCCAGUGGGGAAUAUUGCACAAUGGGCGCAAGCCUGAUGCAGCCAUGCCGCGUGUAUGAAGAAGGCCUUCGGGUUGUAAAGUACUUUCAGCGGGGAGGAAGGGAGUAAAGUUAAUACCUUUGCUCAUUGACGUUACCCGCAGAAGAAGCACCGGCUAACGCCGUGCCAGCAGCCGCGGUAAUACGGAGGGUGCAAGCGGUAAUCGGAAUUACUGGGCGUAAAGCGCACGCAGGCGGUUUGUUAAGUCAGAUGUGAAAUCCCCGGGCUCAACCUGGGAACUGCAUCUGAUACUGGCAAGCUUGAGUCUCGUAGAGGGGGGUAGAAUUCCAGGUGUAGCGGUGAAAUGCGUAGAGAUCUGGAGGAAUACCGGUGGCGAAGGCGGCCCCCUGGACGAAGACUGACGCUCAGGUGCGAAAGCGUGGGGAGCAAACAGGAUUAGAUACCCCAGUAGUC
rnacentral:rRNA from 1 species